UCCUCAGUAGCUCAGUGGUAGAGCAGUCGGCUGUUAACUGACUGGUCUAUGAGGUCGAAUCUCCCGUUGUU
rnacentral:tRNA from 1 species